rnacentral:rRNA from 1 species
AUACGUAGGGGGCUAGCGUUAUCCGGAAUUACUGGGCGUAAAGGGUGCGUAGGUGGUUUCUUAAGUCAGAAGUGAAAGGCUACGGCUCAACCGUAGUAAGCUUUUGAAACUAAGAGACUUGAGUGCAGGAGAGGAGAGUAGAAUUCCUAGUGUAGCGGUGAAAUGCGUAGAUAUUAGGAGGAAUACCAGUUGCGAAGGCGGCCCUCUGGACUGUAACUGACACUGAGGCACGAAAGCGUGGGGAGCAAACAGGAUUAGAUACCCUGGUAGUCCACGCCGUAAACGAUGAGUACUAGCUGUCGGGGGUUACCCCCCUCGGUGGCGCAGCUAACGCAUUAAGUACUCCGCCUGGGAAGUACGCUCGCAAGAGUGAAACUCAAAUGAAUUGACGGGG